UACGAAGGGUGCAAGCGUUACUCGGAUUUACUGGGCGUAAAGCGUGCGUAGGCGGUUUGUUAAGUCUGUCGUGAAAGCCCCGGGCUCAACCUGGGAAUGGCGUUGGAUACUGGCGAGCUAGAGUACGGUAGAGGAGAGUGGAAUUCCCGGUGUAGCAGUGAAAUGCGUAGAGAUCGGGAGGAACAUCAGUUGCGAAGGCGGCUCUCUGGACCAGUACUGACGCUGAGGCACGAAAGCGUGGGGAGCAAACAGG
rnacentral:rRNA from 1 species